rnacentral:rRNA from 1 species
AUUGAACGCUGGCGGCAGGCCUAACACAUGCAAGUCGAACGAGUGGCGGACGGGUGAGUAAUGUCUGGGAAACUGCCUGAUGGAGGGGGAUAACUACUGGAAACGGUAGCUAAUACCGCAUACCAUCGGAUGUGCCCAGAUGGGAUUAGCUAGUCGGUGGGGUAAAGGCUCACCUAGGCGACGCUCCCUAGCUGGUCUGAGAGGAUGACCAGCCACACUGGAACUGAGACACGGUCCAGACUCCUACGGGAGGCAGCAGUGGGGAAUCUUGGACAAUGGGCGCAAGUCUGAUGGAGCCAUGCCGCGUGAAUGAAGAAGGCCUUCGGGUUGUAAAGUACUUUUGUCAGGGAAGCGUUACCCAAACAGGAAGCACCGGCUAACUCCGUGCCAGCAGCCGCGGUAAUAC